rnacentral:rRNA from 1 species
AUACGUAGGGUGCGAGCGUUGUCCGGAAUUACUGGGCGUAAAGAGCUCGUAGGUGGUUUGUCGCGUCGUCUGUGAACUUCCGGGGCUUAACUCCGGGCGUGCAGGCGAUACGGGCAUAACUUGAGUACUGUAGGGGAGACUGGAAUUCCUGGUGUAGCGGUGAAAUGCGCAGAUAUCAGGAGGAACACCGGUGGCGAAGGCGGGUCUCUGGGCAGUAACUGACGCUGAGGAGCGAAAGCAUGGGUAGCGAACAGGAUUAGAUACCCUGGUAGUCCAUGCCGUAAACGGUGGGCGCUAGGUGUAGGGGUCUUCCACGACUUCUGUGCCGUAGCUAACGCAUUAAGCGCCCCGCCUGGGGAGUACGGCCGCAAGGUUGAAACUCAAAUGAAUUGACGGGG